CUACCAAGGCUAUGACGGGUAGCUGGUCUGAGAGGACGACUAGCCACACUGGGACUGAGACACGGCCCAGACUCCUACGGGAGGCAGCAGUGGGGAAUAUUGGGCAAUGGGCGAAAGCCUGACCCAGCGACGCCGCGUGGGCGAUGAAGGCCUUCGGGUUGUAAAGCCCUGUCAUGCGGAAAGAACGACCCUGCGACGCAUAAUCGCAGGGAGUGACGGUACCGCAGGAGGAAGCACCGGCUAACUCCGUGCCAGCAGCCGCGGUAAUACGGAGGGUGCAAGCGUUGUUCGGAAUUAUUGGGCGUAAAGGGCGCGUAGGCGGUAAUGCUAGUCAGAUGUGAAAUACUCCGGCUCAACCGGGGAACUGCAUCUGAAACUGCAUAACUAGAGUACAGAAGAGGGAAACGGAAUUCCCGGUGUAGAGGUGAAAUUCGUAGAUAUCGGGAGGAACACCAGUGGCGAAGGCGGUUUCCUGGUCUGAUACUGACGCUGAGGCGCGAAAGUGUGGGGAGCAAACAGGAUUAGAUACCCUGGUAGUCCACACUGUAAACGGUGAACACUAGGUGUGGGAGGUGUAAUACCUUCCGUGCCGUAGCUAACGCGUUA
rnacentral:rRNA from 1 species